GACGAACGCUGGCGGCGUGCCUAAUACAUGCAAGUGGGACGCAAGGGAACACACUGUGCUUGCACACCGUGUUUUCUUGAGUCGCGAACGGGUGAGUAACGCGUAGGUAACCUGCCUAUUAGCGGGGGAUAACUAUUGGAAACGAUAGCUAAUACCGCAUAAUAUUAAUUAUUGCAUGAUAAUUGAUUGAAAGAUGCAAGCGCAUCACUAGUAGAUGGACCCGCGUUGUAUUAGCUAGUUGGUAAGGUAAGAGCUUACCAAGGCGACGAUACAUAGCCGACCUGAGAGGGUGAUCGGCCACACUGGGACUGAGACACGGCCCAGACUCCUACGGGAGGCAGCAGUAGGGAAUCUUCGGCAAUGGACGAAAGUCUGACCGAGCAACGCCGCGUGAGUGAAGAAGGUUUUCGGAUCGUAAAGCUCUGUUGUAAGUCAAGAACGUGUGUGAGAGUGGAAAGUUUA
rnacentral:rRNA from 1 species